GAUGAACGCUGGCGGCGUGCCUAAUACAUGCAAGUCGAGCGAACAGACGAGGAGCUUGCUCCUUUGACGUUAGCGGCGGACGGGUGAGUAACACGUGGAUAACCUCCCUAUAAGACUGGGAUAACUUCGGGAAACCGGAGCUAAUCCCGGAUAAUAUCUUGAACCGCAUGGUUCAAUAGUAAAAGACGGCUUUGCUGUCACUUAUAGAUGGAUCCGCGCCGCAUUAGCUAGUUGGUAGGGUAACGGCUUACCAAGGCAACGAUGCGUAGCCGACCUGAGAGAGUGAUCGGCCGCACUGGAACUGGGACGCGGUCCAGGCUACUGCGAGAGGCAGCAGUAGGGAAUCGUCCGCAAUAGGCGGAAGCCUGACGGAACAACGCCGCGUGAGUGAUGGAGGUCUUCGGAUCGUAAAGCUCUGUUAUUAGGGGAGAACAGAUGUGGAAGUAACUGUACACGUCUUGACGGUACCUGAUCAGAAAGCCACGGCUAACUACGUG
rnacentral:rRNA from 1 species